AGAGUUUGAUCAUGGCUCAGAAUCAACGCUGGCGGCGCGCCUAACACAUGCAAGUCGAACGAGAAAGCAGGAGCAAUCUUGUGAGUAAAGUGGCGUACGGGUGAGUAACACGUGGAUUAUCUACCCUCUUGUGGGGGAUAACCCUGGGAAACCGGGGCUAAUACCGCAUAAGCUCGAGAGAGGAAAGCAGCAAUGCGCAGGAGGAGGAGUCCGCGGCCGAUUAGCUAGUUGGUAGGGUAAAAGCCUACCAAGGCUACGAUCGGUAGCCGGCCUGAGAGGGCACACGGCCACACUGGCACUGAAACACGGGCCAGACUCCUACGGGAGGCAGCAGUGGGGAAUCUUGCACAAUGGGGGCAACCCUGAUGCAGCGACGCCGCGUGAGCGAUGAAGCCCUUCGGGGUGUAAAGCUCUUUCGGCAGGGAAGAUUAUGACGGUACCUGCAGAAGCAGCUGCGGCUAACUACGUGCCAGCAGCCGCGGUAAUACGUAGGCAGCAAGCGUUGUUCGGAGUUACUGGGCGUAAAGGGUGUGUAGGCGGUUCUCUAAGUCUGGUGUGAAAUCUCCCGGCUCAACUGGGAGGGUGCGCCGAAAACUGGAGGACUAGAGUGCGGGAUGGGAGAGUGGAAUUCCUGGUGUAGCGGUGAAAUGCGUAGAUAUCUGCAGGAACACCCGUGGCGAAAGCGGCGAGCUGGAUCACUACUGACGCUGAGGAACGAAAGCUAGGGGAGCAAACAGGAUUAGAUACCCUAGUAGUCC
rnacentral:rRNA from 1 species